UCCGGCUUAACGCCGGCAGUCCCGCUAGAGUGCCCAACUGAAUGCUGGCAACUAACGGCGAGGGUUGCGCUCGUUGCGGGACUUAACCCAACAUUUCACAACACGAGCUGACGACAGCCAUGCAGCACCUGUCACUGAGUUCCCCGAAGGGCACACUCCCAUCUCUGGGAGCUUCUCAGGAUGUCAAACCUGGGUGAGGUUCUGCGCGUUGCUUCGAAUUAAACCACAUGAUCCACCGCUUGUGCGGGCCCCCGUCAAUUCCUUUGAGUUUUAGUCUUGCGACCGUAAUCCCCAGGCGGAGCACUUAACGCGUUAGCUACGAUACUGCGAGGGUCAAAACCCGCAACAUCUAGUGCUCAUCGUUUACGGCGUGGACUAC
rnacentral:misc_RNA from 1 species